rnacentral:lncRNA from 1 species
GCAUCCAGCCUGCAGACAAGGGAAGGGAAAGGGUGGAAACUUGCACAGGAAUUUUCCGUCAGCCAGUCCAAGAGGAGCAUUUUUCACCUCCCCCCGUAUUUCAUUGAUUAAAAUUCAGCCAUGUGGCUCCAUUUACGCGAGGGAGUGGGGCAGCCUGGGGAAGAUGUUUCUCAGCAACAGUGCUACCCUGCUGGACAGCUGGUGAUUUUUACCAUAAAACAAGAUAGUAAUAAGGAUAGAAUGAGACACCACCGGCUUUGCUCCAUCCCUUUGGGAAGACAGCACACCCAGAGCUCAAGUCUGCUGCUCAUUCUGGAAGGGGAGAUGUCCUGGGCCCAGGGUUUGGAAAUGUCUUCUUGGACAAGCUUAAGCCGUCUCAUUGAAGAUUUUCAAUGGCCUUUCGGAAUUACGGGACUUACCCAGCUCUGCCAGGUUUAUUAAUCCAGCCUAUAAGCUUCUCUAGACCUAGGACUAUGGUGCCUGCACAGAAGAUGUGCUCAACAUAUAACUGAUUAAAUAACUUAAUGAGUAAAUGAAGGACUGGACUCGUUUGUGGGCCAUAUUUGGAGGUGACUUUGUAAACUCUAACAGCAUGGGAUUUUAAUAAGCUGUCUUCAUAGCUUGGACCAUGGUAGGUAUUCAAUACAUAUUCAUCGAACGCAAGUGUUCUUCGCAAUCAGGGAACAUUUUAUUUGCUUCAAAUGUGAUAGGAGUUCUGAGCCUACUACCCAUAGGGUCUCAUUCCCAAGGGAGAAAAUUCAAUUAUCAAAAUUUUGAACAGGCCCAAAUCAGAUUUUCUGUCACCCCUUUUUGUGCUUAGGAAUCUGGUGAUGUUGCAACAGCUGUUUAUAAUUGCAACCCAAAUCCCAAAUUAGCAAGGCAAAGUGGAAGAAUCAGCUAGCCAUUACUCCUGGCCCCUUAAAGCACCUUUAAAAAAAACCUGCCGCAGCGACAUUGACACUACUUUUGGAGGCUUUAAAUAACUACCAGUUCUGACUGUGGGCUCCUAAGCUGAGCAGCCCCUGCGCACAUUGUGUCCCUGGCUCCCCUGGUAGCAGAAAGCUAAUCAACACACCCGGGAAACCCCUGUUAGACCUCAGGCUCUGUUAGCAACAACACAACAAACAAAGGGCUUCUGGGUGUGAACUUCUGGCUGCUUCAAGAAUGGUUGCUAAAAUAAGGGGGUCAAAGCUACAGGUGUUCUCAGCCUUCAGAACAAGCUACUAGUGCAGAGUCAAGGCUGGGCAAGUUUGGCUGGGCCUAAGAGAAAGUUCUUAGGGUAAUAGUCAUGGACGGUCAUGGACCAUUCUGCAGACCAAAGUGACAAAGAAGCAAGGUAGCUGUGUUUGUUUUCUUACAGGAC